rnacentral:tRNA from 8 species
UGGGGCGUCGCCAAGUGGUAAGGCACCGGGUUUUGAUCCCGGCAUUCGCAGGUUCGAAUCCUGCCGCCCCAGCCA